GGGGAUGUAGCUCAAUGGUAGAGGGCUUGCUUUGCAUGUGUGAGGCCCCGGAUUCAAUCCUUGGCGUCUCCA